UGGCCUUGACAUAGUAAGAACUUUUUAGAGAUAAAUUGGUGCUAGUUUACUAGAACUUACAUACAGGUGCUGCACGGCUGUCGUCAGCUCGUGUCGUGAGAUGUUGGGUUAAGUCCCGCAACGAGCGCAACCCUCGUGUUUAGUUACUAACAGUUAGGCUGAGGACUCUAAACAGACUGCCUGGGUAACCAGGAGGAAGGUGAGGACGACGUCAAGUCAUCAUGGCCCUUACGGCCAGGGCUACACACGUGCUACAAUGGGGUAUACAAAGAGCCGCGAUACCGUGAGGUGGAGCAAAUCUCAUAAAAUAUCUCCCAGUUCGGAUUGAAGUCUGCAACUCGACUUCAUGAAGUUGGAAUCGCUAGUAAUCGUAAAUCAGCAAUGUUACGGUGAAUACGUUCCCGGGUCU
rnacentral:rRNA from 1 species